rnacentral:tRNA from 1 species
CUGGGUAUCGUCUAAUGGUAGGACGCGAGAUUCUCAUUCUUGAUAUACUGGUUCGACCCCAGUUACCCAGA